GCUUAUUUUCCUGUUACUUGGCCAACCAAGUGUGAGUGAACAGGAGCCCGAGAGCUUAAAUGCGGGAUCUAGAUAAGGUGUCGACGGGUUGUGGGCGCUUGUCUCCAUGUUAGGGAGAGGCAACUGAGAACGGUGACUUUGGCUUGUUUUGAGAGAGCUUGGGUUUUGACAGCAGGACGGCGAAGGGAGCGCUUGGAGAGGCUGGAAGCUCGACGUCUUAGGGAGCUGCCUACGGGCACUGGGUUGACGCCAAGGGGUUGUCGGCAAGGGCAGGGCUCUUGCCCUCUGCUGUACCCAGACUCUGCAAUUGGGGGCUGCAAGCCUUCUGCGGCUCUUUGGUUUCAAGGACACAGCGAGCUGCUCAGGACUUUGGGAGCCAACAUCUGUCUGACUGGUGACGUCAGCAGCCCGUGUAAUCCUCUUGUGCUGAAGGCAGAUGCCUUAUUUGUUUGGCUGGAGCGAGCCAUUAAUCCCUAAUUCUGGAUCAGCAAGCGAGGGGGAAAGACCGGACUGCUCCGACCCACCCCCUCCCUACCCCCACCUCCCACCUUAAAGCACCUUAUACCACGGAAGCCUCUCAGCCUCUUCUUUCCUCUGCGAACGCGCUGAGCAGCGAUUGAAAACGUUUUGGUCCUCUCCAGGUUUGAGCAGGGCUAGCAGGGGCGCAUUCUGGGGUCUCUGCGCAAGACCAGCUCUCAGCUCUCUCUCCUUUCCUCGGACUCUGGAGCGGGAGCGGGCCUUUCCCUCGGGCCGACCACGCCGUAGGGGACGCCAUGAAAAGAGCCGUCGCGCCCGCUGCCUCCUGCCCGCUGCGCAGAGGGCUCCGCCCGUAGAGGUCAACUUCCCUCACCCUUUCCUCUCUCCUGCUCGCCCUCCCUCCGCUCGGCCCAGGCGCUUCCAGCCGCAGACUCUGGCCACAGGCUGAGGAGUGCGAGUCGGCUGCGCUGCCCUGAGCCGAAUCGCCCUUCCGGGCCCAGACCCGAGUUCCGCGCUCCCGGGCAGUGGGAAAGCUUUAGUGAGCAGCCUUUUCUCUCCGCAGCAAACUCGUAGCCAGACCAGAUGGGCCGCCCAGCUCUCUCGGGACUAGGCAGUUUGAUGCCCAUUACAAAUUUUCCUGCUAUGAAAGAAAUUCUAUGUGCGGCAGUUUUGCAAUAAAACAACCCAGGCUUCGCAAUUGGAGAACUUCGGUGCGGCGUGCCGUGGGAGUCCUUUGACAAUCUCAACUUUCAUCUAGGUCUGAAAUUAAAGCUUCUCGGAAUAAUUUAGGAACAGCUUGACCCGUUGAGACACUCAAGGACAACCCUCCAGGGAAAUAGUUUAUUUCCUUCCUGGGAACAAGAUGCUAGCGCGGUGCACCGGGAGGUAUCCGGUGUCAACAAUGCCAGAACGCCCUCUGCUGCCUCAAAGAGGUAGGACAUCAGUUACAAAAGCCAGAUGGCACAGUGGCAAUAAGCGGAGGAAACAUUAAGCUCUUAGAAACGUUUAUCUGUGAAAUGUAAAAGCGCUCAUCACAUUCUACUUUUGAAAGGGCCACCUGAUUUUGAUUUUGAGCACUCCUUGGAUGAUAUCUUCUAUUCUGGAGGAUAAUGAAAAAUCCGUGUUUUGAAAUUUUCAGAUUAUUUCUGUAGUUAUAUUUCUCCACCCUUUCUCGAAUUUUAUAUGGAAAUACGAAGUUGCAAGUCGAAGUGAAAAACCUUUGUGUAAACAGGUGAGUGGAGAAGACGACCUGACUUCUCUAGAUAACUAAGAUCUAAUAAAGAGAGAAAUCUUAAUUAAAAUAAAGAUACCGAGCACAUGUUGUUGCAUUAGUUUAAAAAGAUAAUAAUAAAAAGAAAUUAAGUCUCGAUGUAAA
ensembl:lncRNA